GACUGAGACACGGCCAGACUCCUACGGAGGCAGCAGUGGGAAUAUGCACAAUGGGCGAAAGCUGAUGCAGCGACGCCGCGUGGGGGAUGACGGCCUUCGGGUUGUAAACCUCUUUCAGUAGGGAAGAAGCGAAAGUGACGGUACCUGCAGAAGAAGCGCCGGCUAACUACGUGCCAGCAGCCGCGGUAAUACGUAGGGCGCAAGCGUUGUCCGGAAUUAUUGGGCGUAAAGAGCUCGUAGGUGGCUUGUCGCGUCUGCCGUGAAAACCCGAGGCUCAACCUCGGGCGUGCGGUGGGUACGGGCAGGCUAGAGUGUGGUAGGGGAGACUGGAACUCCUGGUGUAGCGGUGAAAUGCGCAGAUAUCAGGAAGAACACCGAUGGCGAAGGCAGGUCUCUGGGCCAUUACUGACACUGAGGAGCGAAAGCAUGGGUAGCGAACAGGAUUAGAUACCCUGGUAGUCCAUGCCGUAAACGUUGGGCACUAGAUGUGGGGGACAUUCCACGUUUUCCGCGUCGUAGCUAACGCAUUAAGUGCCCCGCCUGGGGAGUACGGCCGCAAGGCUAAAACUCAAAGGAAUUGACGGGGGCCCGCACAAGCGGCGGAGCAUGCUGAUUAAUUCGAUGCAACGCGAAGAACCUUACCAAGGCUUGACAUGCACCGGACGGCCGCAGAGAUGUGGCUUUCUUCGGACUGGUGCACAGGUGGUGCAUGGUUGUCGUCAGCUCGUGUCGUGAGAUGUUGGGUUAAGUCCCGCAACGAGCGCAACCCUUGUUCUAUGUUGCCAGCACGUCAUGGUGGGGACUCAUAGGAGACUGCCGGGGUCAACUCGGAGGAAGGUGGGGACGACGUCAAAUCAUCAUGCCCCUUAUGUCUUGGGCUUCAAGCAUGCUACAAUGGUCGGUACAAUGGGUUGCGAAACUGUGAGGUGGAGCGAAUCCCAAAAAGCCGGCCUCAGUUCGGAUUGGGGUCUGCAACUCGACCCCAUGAAGUCGGAGUCGCUAGUAAUCGCAGAUCAGCACG
rnacentral:rRNA from 1 species